rnacentral:rRNA from 1 species
AUACGUAGGUGGCAAGCGUUGUCCGGAAUUACUGGGCGUAAAGGGCGCGUAGGCGGCGCUUCAAGUCGUCUGUCAAAUGGGAGGGCUUAACCCUUUUUCGCAGACGAAACUGGAGAGCUUGAGAAGCAGAGAGGCAAACAGAAUUCCUGGUGUAGCGGUGAAAUGCGUAGAUAUCAGGAAGAAUACCAGUGGCGAAGGCGGUUUGCUGGCUGCAUACUGACGCUGAAGCGCGAAAGCCAGGGGAGCGAACGGGAUUAGAUACCCCGGUAGUCCUGGCAGUAAACGAUGUAUGCUGGGUGUGAGACUAGCGAUAGUUUCGUGCCGAAGUUAACGCGAUAAGCAUACCGCCUGGGGAGUACGGUCGCAAGAUUGAAACUCAAAGGAAUUGACGGGG